UCUGGUUGAUCCUGCCAGUAGUCAUAUGCUUGUCUCAAAGAUUAAGCCAUGCUUGUCUAAGUAUAAAUAGUAUACAGUGAAACUGCGAAUGGCUCAUUAAAACAGUUAUAGUUUAUUUGAUAAUUGACAAUUACAUGGAUAACCGUGGUAAUUCUAGAGCUAAUACAUGCUUAAACGCCCGACUUUAUGGAAGGGUGGUAUUUAUUAGACUGAAGCCGAUAUUCCUUGUGUCUAUUGCGGUGAUUCAUAAUAACUGAUCGAAUCUCUUUUUGAGAUAAAUCAUUCAAGUUUCUGCCCUAUCAGCUUUCGAUGGUAGUGUAUUGGACUACCAUGGCAGUAACGGGUAACGAAGAAUUAGGGUUCGAUUUCGGAGAGGGAGCAUGAGAAACGGCUACCACAUCUAAGGAAGGCAGCAGGCGCGUAAAUUACCCAAUCCUGACUCAGGGAGGUAGUGACAAGAAAUAGCAAACCGUGAACCUCAUGGUUUCACGGUAUUGCAAUGAGAACAAUUUAAAACCCUUAGCGAGAAUCAAGUGGAGGACAAGUCUGGUGCCAGCACCCGCGGUAAUUCCAGCUCCACUAGCGUAUAUUAAAGUUGUUGCAGUUAAAAAGCUCGUAGUUGAACCUCUGUCUGGGGCUAGUUUUGGCUUUGGUCAGGCUAGUUCUAGGCAUCCGCCUACAAGACUUAGAGGGCAUUCAGUUGUUCACUAGGAGGAGUAGGCAUUUUACUUUGAAAAAAUUAGAGUGUUUAAGGCAGGCAAUCGCCCGCAUAUAUUAGCAUGGAAUAAUAGAAUAGGACACUUUUCCAUUUCGUUGGUUAUUGGAAUCGUGUAAUGAUUAAUAGGGACAGUUGUGGGCAUUUGUAUUUAAUUGUCAGAGGUGAAAUUCUUGGAUUUAUUAAAGACAAACUAACGCGAAAGCAUUUGCCAAGGAUGUUUUCAUUGAUCAAGAGCGAAAGUUAGGGGAUCAAAGACGAUCAGAUACCGUCCUAGUCUUAACUAUAAACUAUUCCGACUCAAUGUUUGACUGGCUUAUAUAACCAGUUGAGCGUUGUAUGAGAAAUCAAAGUCUUUAGGUUCUGGGGGGAGUAUGGUUGCAAAGCUGAAACUUAAAGGAAUUGACGGAAGAGCACAACCAGGAGUGGAUUCUGCGGCUUAAUUUGACUCAACACGGGGAAACUUACCAGGUUAAAACAAUAGUGGGAUUGACAGUUUGAGAGCGCUUUCUUGAUUGGUUGGGUGGUGGUGCAUGGCCGUUCUUAGUUGGUGGAGUGAUUAGUCUGCUUAAUUGCGUUAACGAACGAGACCUUAACCUGCUUACUAGACUGGCGAUCAUCAAUCGUUAGCUCG
rnacentral:rRNA from 1 species